ACGGAAUUACAAGAGAAAAAAAAACAAUAGAAGAGAGGAGAAGAGAAACUUAGGCUAGAAACAAGGAAAGAGCUACGAUUUUGGGAGGAGAAAAAGGCAGCCCAAAACGUUACCAAACAGUCCCUAAGUUUCAGCUGCGCUAAAGGAAAUUCCGAGGCAAGUUUUGGCGAGUUUUGGUGAAUUUCGGGAAAGGUUCAAGAGACGACGAGGCGAGCAUAGUUAAGAGUAAUUCGUAAGAGGUACAGAUGAUUGGUUUGCUGAUCCGCUCGCUUAGGACAUCCACCAUGUUGGUCGACAGUGCUCCUUUGUCCGGAGCCCUAUUUUGG